rfam:Nematostella vectensis strain CH2 x CH6 NEMVEscaffold_39_Cont6467, whole genome shotgun sequence.
GGCUCAGUGGUAUGAUUCUCGCUUUGGGUGCGAGAGGCCACGGGUUCGAUUCCCGUCUGAGCCC